GACGAACGCUGGCGGCGUGCUUAACACAUGCAAGUCGAACGGAAAGGCCCUGCCUUUGUGGGGUGCUCGAGUGGCGAACGGGUGAGUAACACGUGAGUAACCUGCCUUUGACUUUGGGAUAACUUUUGGAAACUGGGGCUAAUACCGGAUAGGAGUUCAUGCUGCAUGGCGGGGGCUGGAAAGUUUCGGCGGCGGGGGAGGGACUCGCGGCUUAUCAGCUUGUGGGUGGGGUAGUGGCUUCCCAAGGCUAUGACGGGUAGCCGGCCUGAGAGGGUGACCGGCCACAUUGGGACUGAGAUGCGGCCCAGACUGCUACGGGAGGCAGCAGUGGGGAAUAUUGCACGAUGGGCGGAAGCCUGAUGCAGCAACGCCGCGUGCGGGAUGACGGCCUUCGGGGUAGAAACCGCUUUCGCCUGUGACGAAGCGUGAGUGACGGUAAUGGGUAAAGAAGCACCGGCUAACUACGUG
rnacentral:rRNA from 1 species